GUUCGUCGCACACUUUGCUUGUGGGUUCCAAGUGAAACCAACGCACUUUCAAUCGCUUCGAAAGGUACCUCAGCUAGAUAAACCCCAGUAAAGGCAGCAAGACCGUCUCAUGGGGUCACACCAAGGAUGACUGCAUUCCUGCUCGAGUCCCGAGUCUUGUCACCAAACUUCACUGAACAUAAUGGAUAUCUACAGGUAUUCUUCGCAGCAAAUGGCUUCCAAUCAGG